rnacentral:rRNA from 1 species
CGCGAAGAACCUUACCAAGUCUUGACAUCCUUUGACCACCCUAGAGAUAGGGCUUUCCCUUCGGGGACAAAGUGACAGGUGGUGCAUGGUUGUCGUCAGCUCGUGUCGUGAGAUGUUGGGUUAAGUCCCGCAACGAGCGCAACCCCUAUUAUUAGUUGCCAGCAUUUAGUUGGGCACUCUAAUGAGACUGCCGGUGACAAACCGGAGGAAGGUGGGGAUGACGUCAAAUCAGCAUGCCCCUUAUGACUUGGGCUACACACGUGCUACAAUGGAUGGUACAACGAGUCGCAAACCCGCGAGGGCAAGCAAAUCUCUUAAAGCCAUUCUCAGUUCGGAUUGCAGGCUGCAACUCGCCUGCAUGAAGCCGGAAUCGCUAGUAAUCGUGGAUCAGCACGCCGCGGUGAAUACGUUCCCGGGUCUUGUACACACC